GCGCGCUGAUGGAGGACGAGGAAACGCUCGCCUUCAUCCGGCGGCAGGCGCCGCGCGCGCGCUACGUGAGUUCGGUGUGCACCGGCUCGCUC
rnacentral:tRNA from 1 species